CGACCCAAAGCAAAGGAAAAGGGGGGAAACCCUAGAAAUCUGAUUUGGACAAAAAUUGAAGAAGAUAAUCAAGAAUUUACUUGUGCAUGAGCCUGAAUGGAGAUCAAUUAAGCUUUCCUUUCAAGUGGAGUGAAGGAAGAAGGUACGAGCCAAUCCGGAUCGCAAGUGUCGCAAAGUAAAGGAGCGAAGGAAGAAGGUACGAGCCAAUUCGGAUCGCAAGUGUCGCAAAGUAAAGGUAAAUCCCAUGUUUAAGUGCGGCGCGCUCGGACCGAACACACACACAAUGUCGACUAAUAUGCGCUUCCGGUUUAAGUUGUUUAUUUUGAAUGAGUCAAAUUACCAUUUUGAGUAGUAAAUGUUUAACUAGUAACUAGUACAAUAGUAGUAGUUUGAAGUUUAAACUUUGUUUUGAAUAGUUCCGAUUUAAUGUUUUGAUGAAAUAUGUAAGGUUCUAAAUCUUGGUACA